GGGGGUGUAGCUCAGUGGAAGAGUGCAUGUUUAGCAUGCACGAGUUUCCAGGUUCAAUCCCUGGCACCUCCA
rfam:Cavia porcellus supercont2_108 genomic scaffold, whole genome shotgun sequence.